GCGCCCGUAGCUCAAUCGGAACAGAGCAUCGGCCUUCGGAGCCGAGGGUUGGGGGUUCGAGUCCUCCCGGGCGCGCCA
rnacentral:tRNA from 2 species